UGAGAAUCUACCAUUCAGUGAGGAAUACCUCCGAGAAAUCGGGGUUAAUACUGCAUACGUCCCUUCGGGGAGAAAGAUGGCCUCUUUGCUGUCGCUGAUUGAUGAGCUUGCGUACUAUUAGCUUGUUGGUGAGGUAAGGCUCACCAAGGCGAUGAUGGUUAACCGCUGAGAGGGUGUACGGUCACACUGGGACUGAGACACGGCCCAGACCUCCGUACGGGGAGG
rnacentral:rRNA from 1 species